CUGAGGUUUGGCCCGCUCCACCUCUCAACCUGGGAGGUCCAGGGGCGCCUGCGCGGAAAAGCCGCCCGGAAAAGGCUGCAAAAGCAAAGACUAAGAACAAGUUCAGAGAGGUAGAUGGUAAACUGGUUGAGCGAACGCAGUGUUCUUGUUCCCUGCUGUAUCCCCAACAUCCAGCCUAUGGGACAUCUCAACAGAUUUUGAACGAAGGACGGGAGGACAGAAGGAAUGCCGCCUGUAGCAUCUUACCAUAUGGGCACAGUUGGCUCUCCAUCUCAAACCUCUCUUCUGAUUUUCAGGCCAAUAUGGCCAAACGUCUGUUGGACAUCCUCACUCAGUCACCUCAAACCCCAUGAAUUCAAAUUUCACCUUAUGUUCUUCCAUCAGC
rnacentral:lncRNA from 1 species